rnacentral:RNase_P_RNA from 1 species
AGUAGGAUAGAUAAUCGCGGGACCGCAUCUCGCGGUCGUGAGGAAAGUCCGGGCAUCACAGGGCAGGAUGCUGGAUAACGUCCAGUUGAGGCGACUCAAAGGAAAGUGCAACAGAAAGUAUACCGCCACAUCCUUCGGGAUAUGGUAAGGGUGAAAUGGCGAGGUAAGAGCUCACCGCCUGGCUGGUGACAGACAGGGCAUUGUAAACCCCAUCCGAUGCAAGACCAAGCAGAAGUGUUGACGCUGCCCGCCGAGCUUCAGGUAGGUUGCUUGAACCUUGUGGCAACAUAAGGUCUAGAUAGAUGAUUAUCCGCGACAGAACCCGGCUUAUAGUCCUACUCGU